UUCACUUCGCGCCUCAUAGUUUCACUUCGCGCUUCCAUAGCUUCUCUUCGCAUCUCAAUGACUUCUCUUUCAAUUUCUCAUUUUUCGCCUCCAUAUGCACCACAACUGUUGCCUCUCUAUUUUCCGACGACAACCGUUUCAGAGAAAACCUGCUUCAUCCACUUGUGAAUCUGAUCUUGGCGGUGUUUUUGGUAAAAACAACCGACAUGGCAUGCGAGUGAUAUCCACAGCCUGCCGCUGCCAGCGAUGUCCGCGAAGCUGCCGACUGUGCCCUCGCCGCCACGGCUUAAGGCCAUACUCGCUGGAGCUGCGCGAUUCUCGCCGGUGGAAGGGGAGGCACCACAUGAAGGCCAGGAAGUUCCACGCUGAAUUGAUGAAGAAGAGGGCACCGGAGAUUCGGAGAAUGGCUCUGCCGCUGCAGAAGAAGGCGCACUCUCUCGGACGGUUAAUCCCCGGUUGCCGGACGGUGUCGUUCCCCGAAGCUUCUAGAAGAAGCCGGUGAUUAUAUGUGUCUUGGAGAUGCAAGUGUCAUCUGAUGCACACUAGUUAUCUAUUGAGAAGAGCAAGUACCUUGGAGGACAUUGUAACAAAGUUAUUUUCAUUUUCACAGUAGAGGUCAAGGGCUUUGUGCAGCUUAACUGGAACUGGGACUGUUUUAUUUUCAGUUAUACAAUAUUUUAUAAGGCAGCACAUUCACAUUUGAAGGCAAAUUCCCAUUCUGGUGUUACAUCAAAACAAUAAACUUCAUAAUUAUUCUGUAGCAUUGAUGAACAUAUUGAAUAUACCCAAAGUUAUGGCUUCUGGGAGUUUGAUUGAAGUUUUCAACAUUAUUUAUCCUCGACUUACAUGGCUAUUUGAUGUUGAUUUGUAUUAAUUCAUGGUUAUUUUGUAUCAUUGAUGAAUAUAUAUUAAAUACUUGACUGUGAUGAUUGGAAUACUCCAUUGUAAGUUGAAUAAUCAUUCGAGAUUAGUAAGGAAUUAUAUUCCCAGCUUGAAACUAGAGAUUCUGCUAAAUAUGCUUGAAUCUUGGAACUGGAUAAUUUACAAGUAUGUCUACUGUUAUCGUGCAAAAGUUGGCUAUAUAUCUUAGCACUCAUCAUAACUUUUUAAGGCAUCGUUGGUUCUUGAAGAGGUAAUAUCUAUUCAUUUCCUUUUUUUUCAUGAUCUUGUUUACUGUCACUUACAAUGAUUUGGCAUUAUAGAAAUUAAAUUUUGGUGAUGAUCCAUGCACCGCUUUUAUUCUCUCCUUUGAAGCUGCAUUAGAGAGAACUUCUGUGGUGUAGCUUCUUCCUUAUAAUUAAGAGAUAUAUUUAAUCUAUUUAUAUUUUAUGCUAACAGGGAGAGUGCAGAGAGUUCCACCUUUUGUAGUGUAGUAAUUGAAGCUUUUUUACGGCAAUUAAAUAUUUUUCACUAUAAACAACUAAAGUGUCAUGUAAUGAGUCCUUAAGGAACGAAGAUCCCUCCUUGUUGUAAAUUUACAUCACUGUAAUAUUAAAUCAAGUACAAUAUGACAUAACUAUAGAGUAGACACCUUUUU